CACCAUAAACCAAGUCAAGUCUUUUCGCUUGCCCUCGGGAAUUCUCUACAGCGAAGACUGUUACGUUUGUGGAAGAUCAAAUUUGGUACUACCGCUCUGCCUUUGUGCUUCGUUAUGAAGUUUACAUUGGAUCACAGUGAGGUAUAUCGUUUUAUCUCCGUAGAGUUGAGCUCGGUCAUUUUAUUUUCCACUGUUGCUCGUAGUUUGGAGACGUACAUUU
rnacentral:snoRNA from 1 species